rnacentral:rRNA from 1 species
AGCGAACGCUGGCGGCAGGCCUAACACAUGCAAGUCGAACGAAGUCUUCGGACUUAGUGGCGGACGGGUGAGUAACACGUGGGAACGCGCCUUUAGGUUCGGAAUAACUCAGGGAAACUUGUGAUAAUACCGAAUGUGCCCUUCGGGGGAAAGAUUUAUCGCCGUUAGAGCGGCCCGCGUCUAAUUAGCUAGUUGGUGAGGUAAAGGCUCACCAAGGCUACGAUCAGUAGCUGGUCUGAGAGGAUGACCAGCCACAUUGGGACUGAGACACGGCCCAAACUCCUACGGGAGGCAGCAGUGGGGAAUCUUGCGCAAUGGGCGAAAGCCUGACGCAGCCAUGCCGCGUGGAUGAUGAAGGUCUUAGGAUUGUAAAAUCCUUUCACCGGUGAAGAUAAUGACUGUAGCCGGAGAAGAAGCCCCGGCUAACUUCGUGCCAGCAGCCGCGGUAACAC